GUGAAACUCAGUUCACAAACUUGCCGGUCAUCAUGUGUGAUUACAUUGUGAUGCAUUUGUACGGUGAUGCUGUGAUCGUGUCUGUUGUGAUAUUGUGCUUUAUAUACAUCAGUUGUAAGUAUUUUAUCAAUAUGUCAGUGUUGUAUGAUAUUUGCAUGUGUAAAUUAUCUUAAAAUACCACAGGGAGCACCAUGAAACUUUGAUAUAUGUUAACAGAUUAGAGUUCCCUUGUAAUUCAUCUACAGUUUAAUAAGUUUAAUUAAUUAAUUAAUUAUCAAUAUUUAUACUUUACUAUACUAUUUUUCUACAUGUCUACAAUAAUAAUAAUAAUAAUAAUGAAACAAUUGCACAAAGGCUUCAGAAUAUCUUGUUUUGAUUAUAAAACGAUCUUAUCUACACCUUCUGAAAACAGUACAACAGCUGUCAGUGGCGUGGUACACUUUUGAAACAGUACACUCUUGUAAAGACUGAUAUUAGUACCUCAAAUGUACAUAUUGGUACCUGUCAUGAACUCUGUCUGUGUCUCCCCUGUCAUGUCUCUUAUUUUGAAGUUCUGUUUGUGUCUGCCAUGUUUUGUAGUUCUGUGUAGUUCUUUUGGCUGUUUCUCAAUUCUAAGAAUGCAAAGAACAGACUUGCGUUCUCGUGGAAGGUCGCGAGAAAACAGAACGCACUUGUGAGAAUUGAGGGCUGUUUCUCAAUAUGCGUUCUUCAGCGAUCUUGCGUUCUAGUGUCCUUGCUCUACGUCAUCAUUAACAGUCGAAGUUCAUUCCAAUUCUCAAGAACGCUAGUACAGAGGACGCAUGAAAAUACCCGGAUGUGUUCUUGAUAUCGAGGAUGCAUCGAAUGCAGACGUGCGCGCUGAAAUCGCUUCACGCCCCAUAAGUCAUUGCGGCAAAACAAUGGCGGAGGUCAGGUGACCAACAGGAAGAUCGCACACAUCUCAAUUCUCAUAAGUGCUUUCUUUGUUCUCGCAACCUUCUGAGUUCGUUCUUCGUUCAUCAGUAGACUUUACUGUCAGCACGUUUACAUGCAAACCAAUAAUGCAAUUAUAAUGGGAUUUUGUCAAUACUGCGAUUAUACUUUACCUCAUGUAAAUGCAAUAAUUCGAUAAAAAUAAUGCGAUUAAGCUCAUAAUCGCAGUAAGUAUAAUCGCAUUAAAAGAGGUGGCGUACGCCGUUUAUAAUCGCAGUAUGCGUCCAUGUAAAUGCUUUAAUCGCAUUUAUACCGCACUAACUGAAGUGCGCAUGUGUUUUAGUCACGGACCUUAACUCUUUCCCUGCCAUUGACGAGAUAUAUUGUCAAUCAAGAGAAAACGCUUCCCCGCCAAUGACGAGUAUUUCCAUUUUUCCGCAAUACCGCAACUUUUUAAACCCAGAUAAUGAAAUACAUCCAUAACAACGUGUUUGUCAUUUAACGUAAGUAAAUUAAAACAGUGGACCAUGUAUGUGAGUUCAUCAUUUGUGCUCUGCAUUGGGCUAUGUGUGAAUAAUCUGAAAAUAAAAACUGCAUGUAAACCGGAGUGAAGAGGUUAGCUCCAGUCAUGUAAACAUCUUACUGCGAUUAAGUCCUUACUCGCAUUAUUGGAAAUAAUCGCAUUAUUGGUGUGCAUGUAAACGAGCUGACUCACUAGAUAGGGAAUAGUCAAGCGGUGAAUGGUUUCAGAUACCACACAAGUUACGUCCAUCUGUGUGAUGAUGCAUAAGGAAGUGGCAACACAUUUGUGGUCCCAAAUGGACAAAAGCUCUCAUCUGCAAACCACAUGAUGAAAGGUUUUUGGUGGUAGCAUUUGUGCAACACUUUCUUACAGAUCAGUUCAUUAUAAAAGGGUUUGAACGAGAAUCUGUGCCAUACCAAGACCUGUAGGAGUGAAGGUAAGAUCAAUAUUUUAUUUCUCAGUACCGACUGCAUGAAUAAUCUGACAUCACAAUAAUCUUUAUGAGUAUAAUGAGUAUUUCAUCAUCAAGGAGCUCCGGUAUGUGUCAUAAAUUUACUCAUUUCAGACCUAAUACAGACUGCAUUAUCCUUGUUUAUUUCAAUGUAAGUGUAUAUUUUGCUAUGAUUCCUUUAGGUGUGUCUCAUUUGGCUUCUCUGUAUUCCAUGACAUGUAUUGCUGUAGAAAGAUAUCUUCUGAUUGCUCAUCCCAUUUGGUACAGACAUCGUCACCCAGUCAAAUGUCUCGUCUGUACUUCUCUGACUGUCUGGUUGCCAUCAGGCAUUUUAUUAUUGCUUUGUGCUUGGUGGUGGAUAAACAUGGGUUUUAUCAUAGCCCUCUCUUACUAUCUAGUGAUAGUUUUGUGUUUCGUAGGUGCAUGCAGGGCUCUUUUUCAUUCACAGUCGAUCACUUCUCUAAAGAGGCGAUUGGUUGUGGUGACUCUGCUAUUUGUACUGCUCAUUUGCACGUUUACCAUCCUUCCCUUUGUAAUUACGAUGCUGCUUCAAAUGCUUGUUUUUAAUUUUCAGUUACAAACAAGAUUACAUUUAUUGUUUACAUGUUCAACCCGAUUGUGGAUUGUUUGUUGUAUGUGUUCAUGAGGUCUGAUGCCGGAGAUGCUUUCAGGACGCCUCACUGCUGUUCCAGACGGAGAGAAAUUCAAAGUGAAACUCAGCUUACAAUAUUAACCGGUGGACACAGUCAUCAUGUGUGAUUACGACUGUAUAAAAGAUGGACGUAGUGUCCGUGACGUCACCCAUUGGUUUCUGAAGAUCAUUUUUUAAGAAGUACCGGAACGCAUGCAAGAAAAAGAAAAGAGGAACACGUGAGAACAAGAAGUUCAUGAAGAUAAAACGAAGAGCAAUCACAUUCUCAAGUCUGCCAACUAUAUCAGAAGUCAAGAACAUCUUCAUCAGUUCAUCCACUUGUUCUACAUUUUAAAAAGUCACCUGCAAUGGAAACUGAGGAAAAUUUGACCACAACUCUUUAUGAAAACACUUCGAUUUCAAACGAUUACACACCUGAUGAGUCUAUAAACAAAGCAUUUAAUGUCUACCUAUGGAUCAUCUUAAGCAUUGAAACUCCUCUCCUCUGUUUGGCCAUUUACACAGUUUUCUUUCUCACCAAAUCCGGUCAAGGAGCUCCAGUAUUUGUCAUAAAUUUACUCAUUUCAGACCUCAUACAGACUGUUAGCUUUGUCAUUGCUUAUUUUUAUUUAUAUAUAUAUGUUUCUAUGGUUCCUGUAGGUGUGUCUUUUUUGGCUUCUCUGUACUUUAUGACAUGUAUUGCUGUAGAAAGAUAUCUUCUGAUUGCCCAUCCGAUUUGGUACAGACAUCGUCACCCAGUCAAAUGUCU